UACAGAGGGUGCGAGCGUUAAUCGGAAUUACUGGGCGUAAAGCGUGCGUAGACGGCUAUCUAAGUCGGGUGUGAAAGCCCCGGGCUCAACCUGGGAAUUGCAUUCGAGACUGAAUAGCUAGGGUGCGGUAGAGGGAAGCGGAAUUUCCGGUGUAGCGGUGAAAUGCUUAGAUAUGACAUAGAACACCAAUUGCGAAGGCGGCUUACUACCCGAAUAUUGACACUGAGGCACGAAAGCGUGGGGAUCAAACAGG
rnacentral:rRNA from 1 species